CUACCAUUUGUCAUGCAUCUAAUAUUCAGAAGGACUUCUCAUAAAAUCCAAGAAAAUUUUUUCCAAAGAAGCAUGCUGAACAGAGGGCAAUAAUCUAGGAGGCAAGUGCAGUGGAUUGAAUAGUGUCUCCUAAAAAUUCAUCCGGAACCUCAGAAUGUGACCUUUUGGGAAAUUUGUAGACGUAAUUAGUUAAAGAUCUCAAGAUGUAAUCAUCCUGGAUUUAGGCUGGGCCUUGAAUCCUAUGACUGGAGUCCUUUUAAGUAGAGGAGAGGACACAGGAGACCCAUAGAGAAGAAGGAGUUGUGAAGAUAGAGGCAGAGACUGGAGAUAUGUACAAGCAAAGGAACACCAGGGACUGUCUGCAAUCACCAGAAGCUAGCAGAGAAGCGUGGAAUGAUCUUUCCCUCAUAGGCUCCGAGGAACCACCCCUACUGACACCUUGA